UACAGAGGGGGCAAGCGUUGUUCGGAAUUACUGGGCGUAAAGGGCGCGUAGGCGGCCUUCUAAGUCGAACGUGAAAUCCCCGGGCUCAACCCGGGAACUGCGUCCGAUACUGGAAGGCUUGAAUCCGGGAGAGGGAUGCGGAAUUCCAGGUGUAGCGGUGAAAUGCGUAGAUAUCGAGAGGAACACCUGCGGCGAAGGCGGGUUGCUGGGCUGACACUGACGCUGAUGCGCGAAAGCCAGGGGAGCGAACGGG
rnacentral:rRNA from 1 species